GCCAUCUGCCAUAUCACCCUGCAACUCACAACUGGCAACCCACUGAAGCUCAGCAGGUGUGAGCCUGGUCAGUACCUUGAUGGGAGACCUCCUGGGAAAAACUAAGGUUGCUUCUGGAA
rnacentral:rRNA from 1 species